GGAGGUAUGGAAAGUUUGGGGGAUGUGGUGUUUGGUGUGGAAUAUCAAUUGGGUGAUUCAUGAAAAUCCAAGAGUCUACUUCCUUGUUUGGAACUCUUUAUGGAAUUGUGGUGAUAAGUCUAGGGUAUGGACCCUUACGAUUUAUGUUAUUGUAUGGUCCAUAUGGCUUUUUUGUAAUGAAAUUUUAUUUAACAAUAAGAAGUGGGAUGUGGUACAAUUAUAUGAUCUUAUUAAAUUACGAAUAACCUUAUGGAGUAAAGCAAAGUGACCGAGAAUCACAAAGACAAUAACGAAGAUUUUUAGAUGCCUUUUUUCUGUUUCAUUGCCAUGGUAUGGAAGUAUCUCCAAGCAAGUAGUGAAUUGGCAGUAUCCACAAGCUGAUUGGGUCAAAUGCAAUGUUGAUGGGGCGGCACAAGUGAAUUCGAGGCUAGUUGGUAUAAGAGGAGUUAUGAGAGAUAGCUCAAGUAAUAUUCUUUUGAAAUUCUUGAAAUGCAUAAGACAUGAAG
rnacentral:lncRNA from 1 species